GACGAACGCUGGCGGCGUGCUUAACACAUGCAAGUCGUACGGUAAGGCCCUUUCGGGGGUACACGAGUGGCGAACGGGUGAGUAACACGUGAGUAACCUGCCCACAACUUUGGGAUAACGCUAGGAAACUGGUGCUAAUACUGGAUAUGUGCUCCUGCUGCAUGGUGGGGGUUGGAAAGCUCCGGCGGUUGUGGAUGGACUCGCGGCCUAUCAGCUUGUUGGUGGGGUAGUGGCCUACCAAGGCGGCGACGGGUAGCCGGCCUGAGAGGGUGACCGGCCACGGUGGGGAUGGGAUACAGCCCAGACGCCGACGGGGGGCAGCGGGGGGGAGUGUUGGAAAACGGGCUCAGGCCGGAGGCAGCAACGCGGGGGGGGGGAUAAUGGGCUUGGGGUUAGAAGCGGAUUUCAGCGGGGCCAAGGCUUUGUGUGACGGGACGGGCAGAAGAAGAACCGGCUAACUACGUC
rnacentral:rRNA from 1 species